AAAAAAAACUAGCCGUUACGAAAGCCAGAAGCGUCCAUAGCUCACCGGUUCAACCUACCUUCCCAAUCAGUUAAAUUAAAUGGUGCAAUUUGCAAAACUAUUUAAAACCAAGCCCACCACCAAAAAAAAUAUAAAAAAAUUAAAAAAAUAGCCGUUACCAAGCCAGAAGCGUCUAAAGCUCACUGGUUCAUCUUUUUUCUCCAUUCACUUUAAUGCUACAAGCAGAAAAAAUACCCUAGCAAAUCCACAAUACAACAAAAUCCCCAACUCCGAUCAACUUUUUCAGCAACAAUCACAUUCCUCUUUUGAUGGAUUCAAACGACAAAUCCAUUAGACUUACGCCUAAAAAAUGCUCCAAAAAUUCAGAAAAUAUGAACCCCAAUGUGGAACAACACAGUCCUUAUCUGCCAAAAUCUUCUAAAUCACCAUCAAUGGCGAAAUCAGCGAAAAAACCCCAAAAUUCAGUAUCCAGAAACCCUAACGCAAAUCAAUUGGUUUCGCCUUCUCCCAAAAACAAAAUUCGCCAAAGGAAGUUUGUGAUCGCAAAGAAGAACAAGUGUGAUAGUGAUAAUUUUAACCCUUCAGUGGCUUGUAGUAAGUGUAAUAAGGCGGGUGGUGGUGAGAAAAAGAAGUGCCUUUGUGUUGCUUAUGAGAGCCUCAGGGCUUCUCAAGAAGAGUUUUUCAAGAAUCGCGGUGGAAAUGAACACGAAGAAAGUGAAAUCAAGAAGUUGGAUAAUGUAAAUAGCCCUGAAAUUGGCAAUGGAGAAGGAAUGAGUAACCAGUCAUUGACUCAAAACAUUGAAUUGGGUGAAUUAGUUGAAUUGGAUGGUCGUUGUGUGGCUGAUGAAAUGGUGGAAAGGGCAAACGAGGAUGUGGGUUUGGGUGAAGUGAGUGGUGGAACUAUAAAGAGGAGGAUGUUGGAAGAAGCAAGACAAAGUGUAUCUGAAUCAGGAAAAGUGAUGCAUUUAGUUAAGGCUUUUGAGAAGCUUCUUUCGAUACCAAAAACUAAGGAGUGUGAAGGGGAAAAGGAAACCGAAGAUUCUGGAACGGGACAAAAAAGGGCAUUGCCUGGCUUACAACCUCCUAAGAUUCCUGCGACAGAGAUGUCUUCUUCUUCGUUUUGUCCAUCGGAUUUUUUCCUCACCUAUGAGAGUUUAGGCUUGGAUUCGCGUCGUGCCUCCUCAUUGGAUAGCAGCCACAGAAGCUUCAGUAUUUCAAGCAGGACUUCAGGUGGUGGUCGAAGGAGCAGACACAAUAGCGCUGAAUCAUCAGGCACAUAUACUAGAAGAAAUGGGAAGAGAAGGCAGCUCAAAGCGACCUCACAAAAGCCCUUCAAACUUAGAACUGAGGAAAGGGGAAAAUGUAAGGAGGAAGAAUUUUUAGAGAAGGUGCAACAAAUGGCGGAGGAAGAGGAGAAACAGCGGAUACCAAUUGCACAAGGCCUUCCAUGGACAACAGAUGAGCCAGAGUGUUUGCCAAAGCCUCCUGUAAAAGAGAGCACAAGGCCUGUUGAUCUGGUGCUGCACAGUGACAUUAGGGCAGUUGAACGUGCUGAGUUUGACCAUCAGGUGGCAGAUAAAUUGAGCUUUAUUGAACAAUACAAGAUGGAAAGAGAGAGACUACAGAAGAUGGCCGAGGAAGAAGAAAUUAGGAGGCUGAGAAAGGAACUUGUUCCAAAAGCUCAACCAAUGCCCUACUUUGACAGACCUUUCAUUCCUAGAAGAUAGAUUUUUCAUCACUUCUUGAAGCUCGCCUUGUCAAAAAUGGUAUUUCAGACUCUGUAGCAGGACUUUCUGGUCGGCCCAGUGCAAGUCCUGCUACAAACGAAUCAAAUCCAGUUCUAAGCGCUAGUGAUAAGAAAACUGAUGGCCCAACUAUAGAAAAUGGAGGAGUAAACCUCUGGGAACAACUCAGUGAGACUAUAAAGGCGAUAAAAGUAGCUGGGGUAAGGGGAGCUCUUGGAAGAGCUCGUGGUCACAUAAAACCUUGAGAGGCAGUGCUCUUGGUCCUAGAAUGGCCUUUCGAAGAUAUAAAAAGGAAA